GUGGCUACUGUGCCAGCUGGUGGAUCGCUCGGCUUGAGAGCUGAAGACGGACGUGCCAAGCUGCGAUAAGCCUCAGGGACCCGCACGGAGGGAAAGAACUGAGGAUUUCCGAAUGGGAAUCCCCACCGCAAUUGCUUCGCGCAAUGGGGAACGCCGAGAACUGAAACAUCUCAGUAUCGGCAGGAAAAGAAAACGUAAUGUGAUGUCGUUAGUACUGGCGAAGGAACGCGAUACAGUCCAAACCGAAGCCUUCGGGCAAUGUGGUGUUCGGACUGACGAUCACUCUCCGAAAUUCGACACGAAGUCUCUUGGAACAGAGCACGAGACAGGGUGACAGUCCCGUACUGUCGACNAGUAAGAGACGAGUCAGCUCCAGAGUAUCGGGGGUUGGAUAUCCCUCGUGAAUAUCCCAGGCAUCGACUGGGAAGACUAAACACUCCUCAAGACCGAUAGCGAACAAGUAGUGUGAACGAACGCUGAAAAGCACCCCACAAAGGGAGGUGCAAUAGGGCGUGAAAUCAGUUGGCGAUAGAGCGACGGGGCUUACAAGGUCCUGAUCAUAAUGACCGUAGCGCGAGCUACCAGUAAGCUGAUCAGGAAGCCGAAGUUCCGUCGUACGUUUUGAAAAACGAACCAGGGAGUGUGCCUGAUUGACGAGUCUAACUUGAGUAUCAAGGAAGGCGUAGGGAAACCGACAUGGCCGCAGCCGUUAGGUGAGGGCCGCCGUGUUCAAGCGCGGGGAGUCAAUCGGGCACGACCCGAAACUGGAUGAUCUAGACGUGGGCAAGGUGAAGCGUGCCGAAAGGCACGUGGAGGCCUGUUAGUGUUGGUGUCCUACAAUACCCUCACGUGACCUACGUCUAGGGGUGAAAGGCCCAUCGAAUCCGGAAACAGCUGGUUCCAACCGAAAGAUGUCGAAGCAUCACCUCUGCCGAGAUAGUUCAUGGGGUAGAGCGACGGAUUGGGGGACCGCACUCCGAGAGGAGUGCGCCCCCCUGUCCAACUCCGAACCUAUGAACGUCGUUCGACGCAGGGAGUCCGGUGCACGGGGUAAGCCUGUGUACCGUAAGGGAGACNGCGCCCCCCUGUCCAACUCCGAACCUAUGAACGUCGUUCGACGCAGGGAGUCCGGUGCACGGGGUAAGCCUGUGUACCGUAAGGGAGACAACCCAGAGCUGGGUUAAGGUCCCAAAGUGUGGAUUAAGUGCGAUCGAAGGUGGUCUCAAGCCCUAGACAGCCGGGAGGUGAGCUUAGAAGCAGCUACCCUCUAAGAAAAGCGUAACAGCUUACCGGCCGAGGUUUGAGGCGCCCAAAAUGAUCGGGGCUCAAAUCCNGUGAGCUUAGAAGCAGCUACCCUCUAAGAAAAGCGUAACAGCUUACCGGCCGAGGUUUGAGGCGCCCAAAAUGAUCGGGGCUCAAAUCCACCACCGAGACCGAGCCGUACCCCUCACAGGGUAAUCGCGUAGGUUGGCGUUCUGUUCGGGUGGAAGCACGGAUGAGAAUUCGUGUGGACCGUUCAGUAACGAAAAUCCUGGUCAUAGUAGCAGCGUUAGUCGGGUUAGACCCCCGACGGCCGAACGAGUAAGGGUUCCUCAGCAAUGCUAAUCAGCUGAGGGUUAGCCGGUCCUAAGUCAGCCCGUAAGUCGAAGCUGACAACAGGGAAAUAGGUUAAUAUUCCUAUGCCGGUAUGCAAUAAAAGUUGACGCUUUGGGGCCACCCAGGCUGGGCCUUCGCCCAGUUGAACAGUCGAAGAGCGUGGAAGCCGUAAUGGCACGAAGCGAUCGAAUGGCUGGAUAACGCAAGUUGGGUCAACCCAGAGCCCGUGAAAAGACGAGCAUACUGUCCGUACCGAGAUCCGACACAGGUACUCAUGGCGGCGAAAGCCAAGGUCUGUCGGGAUCAACCGACGUUAGGGAAUUCGGCAAGUUAGUCCCGUACGUUCGCAAUAAGGGAUGCCUGCCUCGGAAAGAGGCAGGUCGCAGUGACUCGGGCGCUCCGACUGUCUAGUAACAACAUAGGUGACCGCAAAUCCGCAAGGACUCGUACGGUCACUGAAUCCUGCCCAGUGCGGGUAUCUGAACACCCCUUACAAGGGGACGAAGGACCCGUUAACGGCGGGGGUAACUAUGACCCUCUUAAGGUAGCGUAGUACCUUGCCGCUUCAGUAGCGGCUUGCAUGAAUGGAUCAACGAGAGCGCCACUGUCCCAACGUUGGGCCCGGUGAACUGUACGUUCCAGUGCGGAGUCUGGAGACCCCCAAGGGGAAGCGAAGACCCUAUAGAGCUUUACUGCAGGCUGUCACUGAGACGUGGUCGCCAUUGUGCAGCAUAGGUAGGAGGCGUUACACAGGUACCCGCGCUAGCGGGCCACCGAGCCAGCAUUGAAAUACUACCCGAUGGUGACUGCGACUCUCACUCCUGGCGGAGGACACUGGUAGCCGGGCAGUUUGACUGGGGCGGUACGCGCCUGAAAAGAUAUCGGGCGCGCCCCAAGAUUUCCUCCCCCGCGUCGGAGACGCGGGAAAGAGCGCAAGAGCAUACGGAAGUCUGACAGUGUCCGGCACAACGACGGACGCUGACGCGAAAGCGUGGUCUAGCGAACCAAUUAGGCUGCUUGAUGCGGCCAAUUGCUGACAGAAAAGCUACCUUAGGGAUAACAGAGUCGUCACCCGCAAGAGCACAUAUCGACCGGGUGGCUUGCUACCUCGAUGUCGGUUCCCUCCAUCCUGCCCGUGCAGAAGCGGGCAAGGG
rnacentral:rRNA from 1 species